rnacentral:rRNA from 1 species
AUACGGAGGGUGCAAGCGUUAAUCGGAAUUACUGGGCGUAAAGGGCGCGUAGGCGGUCUAUCCAGUCAGUUGUGAAAUCCCACGGCUCAACCGUGGAGGUGCAUCUGAAACUGAUAGACUUGAGUAUGGGAGAGGAAAGUGGAAUUCCCGGUGUAGAGGUGAAAUUCGUAGAUAUCGGGAGGAACACCAGUGGCGAAGGCGACUUUCUGGACCAAUACUGACGCUGAGGCGCGAAAGCGUGGGGAGCAAACAGGAUUAGAUACCCCAGUAGUCC